rnacentral:SRP_RNA from 1 species
CGCAGCCCCUCGUGCGGCGUCACCUUAUGAACCUCCCCAGGGCCGGAAGGCAGCAAGGAUAAAUGAGCUCUGGCGGGUGCGCGAGGGGUCUUUUGC